GAUUGGCUUUUAUCUGUACACGUUUUUCCGGUGACCAUAAAUUCCACGUGUGUUCUCUAAUUUUUCUGUCGGGAUUAUUUUAAUGACGGGUUGUCAACAUUCCAAAAAAACACGAGUCAUUAACGUCGUCUGCCGAUAAAUUACAAAGCCAAUGAGGACAUAUCACACAAUGUUGGGGUAUGGUGGAGAAAACCCCCUACUAACUCCGGUCCAGCAGAGCAGGGAACCACAUAACAUAACCGUUCCGCUAUCAUCCCCAGCCGCCGUCGCUGUUGUAAUCAACAUUUAUCGCCGGUUGUUGAAACAUUUCCAGGAAAUUUUUGUUUGAACAGUUGAACGGGAUGACGUCACACGUUAACCUACCCCACACUGGGUUCCAUUCCAAACUGUACGAGUCACCCAAUCAGCUGUUUUUGACCAAAUUCUAUUACAUGAGUACAUGACACAGAAAUCGAUUCAAUUUCAUCAGCUUGUGAAUAAUAUU